GGGGAAUAUUGGACAAUGGGGGAAACCCUGAUCCAGCGAUGCCGCGUGAGUGAAGAAGGCCUUCGGGUUGUAAAGCUCUUUCACCUGAGACGAUAAUGACGGUAUCAGGAGAAGAAGCACCGGCUAACUCUGUGCCAGCAGCCGCGGUAAUACAGAGGGUGCUAGCGUUGUUCGGAAUGACUGGGCGUAAAGGGCGCGUAGGCGGCUUUUUAAGUCAGGCGUGAAAGCCCCGGGCUCAACCUGGGAAUAGCGUUUGAUACUGGAAGGCCUGAGUGCGGAAGAGGAGAGUGGAAUUCCUAGUGUAGAAGUGAAAUUCGUAGAUAUUAGGAGGAACACCGGAGGCGAAGGCGGCUCUCUGGUCCGCAACUGACGCUGAGGCGCGAAAGCGUGGGGAGCAAAC
rnacentral:rRNA from 1 species